rnacentral:rRNA from 1 species
UACGUAGGGGGCAAGCGUUGUCCGGAAUCAUUGGGCGUAAAGCGCGUGUAGGCGGCUCAGUAAGUCCGCUCUGAAAGCCCGGGGCUCAACCCCGGGAGGCGGGUGGAUACUGCUGAGCUCGAGUCCGGAAGAGGAGUGUGGAAUUCCUGGUGUAGCGGUGAAAUGCGCAGAUAUCAGGAGGAACACCAAUGGCGAAGGCAGCACUCUGGGACGGUACUGACACUGAGACGCGAAAGCGUGGGGAGCGAACAGG